AAGCGCUAUGUGUGAAAACACUGAAUAUAUUGUUACAUUGAAAAGCUCUGGUUCUACAAAAUGUGUCAGUCCUGAGCUGAAAGAAAUUAAAGCUCUGCUUAAUGGAAAAAAUCGGUCUCUGAAACAUAUUCCAGUGAUCAGACACC